UGCCAGCCGCCGCGGUAAUACGGAGGGUGCGAGCGUUGUUCGGAAUUACUGGGCGUAAAGAGCGCGUAGGCGGUCUAUCAAGCUAGAGGUGAAAUCCCCGAGCUCAACUCGGGAAUAGCUUUUUGAACUGGUAGACUAGAGAGUGUUAGGGGCAGAUGGAAUUCCUGGUGUAGAGGUGAAAUUCGUAGAUAUCAGGAGGAACACCGGAGGCGAAGGCGGUCUGCUGGGGCAUCUCUGACGCUGAGGCGCGAAAGCGUGGGGAGCAAACAGGAUUAGAUA
rnacentral:rRNA from 1 species